AUUGAACGCUGGCGGCAGGCUUAACACAUGCAAGUCGAGCGAGCGGCGGACGGGUGAGUAAUGUCUGGGAAACUGCCUGAUGGAGGGGGAUAACUACUGGAAACGGUAGCUAAUACCGCAUACCAUCAGAUGUGCCCAGAUGGGUUUAGCUAGUAGGUGGGGUAAGGGCUCACCUAGGCGACGAUCCCUAGCGGGUCUGCGAGGAUGACCAGCCACACUGGAACGGAAACACGGUCCGGACUCCUACUGGAGGCAGCAGUGGGGAAUAUUGCACAAGAGGCGCAAGCCUGAUGAAGCCAGGCCGCGUGUGUGAGGAAGGCCUUCGGGUUGUAAAGCACUUUCAGCGGGGAGGCGUUACUCGCAGAAGAAGCACCGGCUAACUCCGUGCCAGCAGCCGCGGUAAUAC
rnacentral:rRNA from 1 species